CCACCCGCAGGGCCGCGUUCGCACCAAAACCGUGAAGAAGGCGGCCCGGGUCAUCAUAGAAAAGUACUACACGCGCCUGGGCAACGACUUCCACACGAACAAGCGCGUGUGCGAGGAGAUCGCCAUUAUCCCCAGCAAAAAGCUCCGCAACAAGAUAGCAGGCUAUGUCACGCAUCUGAUGAAGCGGAUUCAGAGAGGCCCAGUAAGAGGUAUCUCCAUCAAGCUGCAGGAGGAGGAGAGAGAAAGGAGAGACAAUUAUGUUCCUGAGGUCUCAGCCUUGGAUCAGGAGAUAAUUGAAGUAGAUCCUGACACUAAGGAAAUGCUGAAGCUUUUGGUAAGUGUUUGCUGGAUUCCUAGAGUGGUAUUUUCCUGGUCAAAAACCAUCAGUAGGUCUUAUUAUCCAAGGUCACCCAGCUAGUAAGUGGCAGAGUUGGGAAUCCCAUCUAAACUUCUAGCCACUAAACUGGACUGCUUUCAUAAGGGGUGUAGCGGAAGUUGUGUGCAUUGAGUUUGCUCGCCACAAGAUCAUGAUUCCCAAAUCUAGUGGCUUCCAGGACACCUUUUCUCUCUUGGCUGCUUCUGUUCUUGGUUUUAUAGCUGGCUUACGUUGCCCCCUUUGUGUCAGCCCUGGUUGAAUCUGCCUGCUUUUCUUCUGUGAAGGCAUUCCUUUGGUGUCUCCAUGCUAACCACUCAGAAAUGAGCUUUGGUCCAUUUCCAGGUACAUUCAAGGCACUACUUAGGUAGUUCACGAGUAUCUUCAUUGCACUUUGAUGUUUUUUCUGUGGCUUAUCUUAGUCCUUUUGCAUACUUGGGUGAAAGCAUGGGCUUCAAAAUCCAUUGGGCGGUUGGUGAUUUUGAACAACUUCAUUUUUCCUAUUUUUAUGGUCAUUAAAUGUUUAAGAAACUCAAAAAGGUAAUAGCAAAAUGAACUCACAUGUACUUUCCCAGCUUCAGAAAAACAUCACCGGUACAGCUACAGCCCCGCUGUGGGUCUUUUCUUCCUGAAAUAACCACUGCGCUGAAUGCAGCUUUUUUGUUGAAACUAAAAUGGGUUUCUGAGGACCAAAUAGGACAUGAAGUUCCAGGUAUAAGUUGGGCCCUUUGGCUUCUUGCCUUGCCUACCAGCCUGAACUUGUUUGAGGGCAGGGUCUGCUCUUGCCUCCCUCCCUUCUGCUUGAUGCCUUGUGUACUUGGACCCUUCACAAAUGUUGAUGAGAUUAGUAAUAGCUCUUACCCGGGGCUGGUCCUGGAAAGCAAGUGGCACUGUGUAUUCUCAAAGGGACAGAGUUUUGCUUUAGAGGACAUUUAGCAAUGUCCAGACACAUUUUUGAUUCUCAUAGCCAGGGAAUACCUGCUAACUUCUAAUGGGUAGAGGCCAAGGAUGUUGCUAAACUUUGUGCAAUACACAAUGCAGCCGCCUAUAACAAACAAUGUCCAGCCCAGGAUGUCUACGUUGCCAAGAUUGAGAAAUGGUGUUUUAGAGUGAUUGAUAGGAAGGGGUUGUGAAAACAGAUACAAAUGGCAUGGUACAUUGGGUAAAAGUCAUAGAGUUGUAAAUGGGGAUACCACAUGAUCAGGUGUGUGUUGAAGGAAGAUCACUCUGGAAAAGUGGGAGGCAUUGAGAACCCUGUGGGCUCUUAAAGGGUCCUUCAGGUCGCCUCUGGACCCCCUUGAGAGUGCUGUGGCUCUAGGGGCCUCUGUUUUCUUCUGGGGUCCACCCACAGAUCUCACCAGUAACUGCUCACUGAAUCCAUUUUCUCGUUCCAGGACUUCGGCAGUCUGUCCAACCUUCAGGUCACUCAGCCUACAGUUGGGAUGAAUUUCAAAACGCCUCGGGGACCUGUUUGAAUUUUUUCUGUAGUGCUGUAUUAUUUUCAAUAAAUCUG
rnacentral:sRNA from 1 species